rnacentral:rRNA from 1 species
UACGGGGGGGGCAAGCGUUGUUCGGAAUUACUGGGCGUAAAGGGCUCGUAGGCGGCCAACUAAGUCAGACGUGAAAUCCCCAGGCUUAACCUGGGAACUGCGUCUGAUACUGGAUGGCUUGAAUCCGGGAGAGGGAUGCAGAAUUCCAGGUGUAGCGGUGAAAUGCGUAGAUAUCUGGAGGAACACCGAUGGCGAAGGCAGGUCUCUGGGCCGAUACUGACGCUGAGGAGCGAAAGCGUGGGGAGCGAACAGG